AGCAGAGUGGCACAGCAGAAGUGUGCUGGGCCCAUAACCCAGAGGUUGAUGGAUCGAAAUCAUCCUCUGCUA
rfam:Felis catus isolate Cinnamon breed Abyssinian chromosome B2, whole genome shotgun sequence.